rnacentral:rRNA from 1 species
ACGGGAGGCAGCAGUAGGGAAUAUUGGGCAAUGGAGGCAACUCUGACCCAGCCAUGCCGCGUGAAGGAAGACGGCCCUAUGGGUUGUAAACUUCUUUUAUCGUAGAGUAAACCUGGCCACGUGUGGCCAGCUGAGAGUAUACGAGGAAUAAGUAUCGGCUAACUCCGUGCCAGCAGCCGCGGUAAUACGGGGGAUACGAGCGUUAUCCGGAUUUAUUGGGUUUAAAGGGUGCGCAGGCGGCACGUUAAGUCAGCGGUGAAAUGUCGGGGCUCAACCCGGGCACUGCCGUUGAAACUGGCGAGCUUGAGUACGGAUGAAGUCGGCGGAAUGUGAUGUGUAGCGGUGAAAUGCUUAGAUAUGUCACAGAACACCGAUUGCGAAGGCAGCUGACUAAUCCGCAACUGACGCUCAGGCACGAAAGCGUGGGGAUCGAACAGGAUUAGAUACCCUGGUA